GGGGAUUUAGCUCAGUGGUAGAACGCUUGCCUAGCAAGCACAAGGCCCUGGGUUUGAUCCCCAGCUCCA
rnacentral:tRNA from 1 species